AUACAACUGUACUAACCUACGAAUCUAUCGUAGAUUUUGCAGUAAGAAACAGAGUAGAGAAAAAUAAUUCGUCUUGUCAAUUGAGUUCUAAAGUAACUGAACCAGCCUGUGUGGACUUUUUACAAGAAAAAAUAGAAUUAUUCAGAGUUUUAGAUGUAACUGUGAUAUUCUAUAAUCUAAAGAAUUUUUGUACAUAUGUUUGACUUGUUUUGAAUAUAUUAUUUUAAAACAAGUGGAUUGUGUGCUGUCCGUUUAU